UUGUCCUCAUUCAUUUUCCUCUCCAGAACUCGAGGAAAACGUCGACGUCUUCUGGUGUUAUAGUAACCUUUGUAGAACUACGACUGUUGGGAACGAGGGCUCUGAAUCGUCGUCUACAACGCUGAAUGGUGUUGGGAUGCUGUGGCCUCUAAUUUCGUUAGUCGCAUGGGAACAGAACAGCCUUGUUAAGUUCUAAGCACUUUGGCUGCUUUUUUUAUUGCUGUUUUCUGAGGUGGAAAUCUGCUCGAAACGAGUACUUCAUCUACUAAUCCGUACGAGACCCUUUGGUUAUUGGACUCUUUUUUUUUUUUUUUUUGGUCUGAACCACGAGGUGGUCCUGGAUGGGCAUUGGACUCUCUCUUUUCGAUCUGAGAAUACUAUCCCUCAGUGAUUUCA